rnacentral:rRNA from 1 species
ACAGGGAUUGCCCCAGUAACUGCGAGUGAAGCGGCAAGAGCUCAGAUUUGGAACCUGCGGCGGCCGGAUUGUAAUCUGGAGAGACAUCUUCGGGGAGGGCCCCUGGAACGGGGCGUCGGAGAGGGUGAGAAUCCCGUAUCUGGCCGGCCCGUCCACCCCUGUGAAGUGUCUUCGACGAGUCGAGUUGUUUGGGAAUGCAGCUCAAAAUGGGUGGUAAGCUCCAUCUAAAGCUAAAUAUUGGCGGGAGACCGAUAGCGCACAAGUAGAGUGAUCGAAAGAUGAAAAGUACCUUGAAAAGGGGGUUAAACAGUACGUGAAAUUGUUGAAAGGGAAGCGCUUGAGACCGUAGCUGGAGGGGGAUGACCGGUGCUCUCUCGCCCUCUCAGGCCAGCAUCGGUUGGCGGCGGGACAAAGGAACGUGGCCCCCCCCCGGGCCGACAUGCCGCUGCCGCGACCGAGGACCGCACGAUGGUCUUCAGCGACCCGUCUUGAAACACGGACCAAGGAGUCUAACAUCUAUGCGAGUGUUUGGGUGCAAACCCUUGCGCGUAAUGAAAGUGAUUUAAGUUUGGGCGUACCAUCUGCCGAUCCUGAUGUCUUCGGAUGGAAUCGAGCAGGAGCAUAGCUGUUGGGACCCGAAAGAUGGUGAACUAUGCCUGAAUAGGGUGAAGCCAGAGGAAACUCUGGUGGAGGCUCGGUUCUGACGUGCAAAUCGAUCGUCAAAUUUGGGGCGAAAGACUAAUCG